rnacentral:rRNA from 1 species
CCUACGGGAGGCAGCAGUGGGGAAUAUUGGGCAAUGGGCGCAAGCCUGACCCAGCAACGCCGCGUGAAGGAAGAAGGCUCUCGGGUUGUAAACUUCUUUUGUCAGGGAAGAGUAGAAGACGGUACCUGACGCAUAAGCCACGGCAUACUACGUGCCAGCAGCCGCGGUAAUACGGAGGUGGCAAGCGUUGUCCGGAUUUACUGGGUGUAAAGGGCGUGUAGCCGGGUUGACAAGUCAAAUGUGAAAUCCUGCGGCUUAACCGCAGAACUGCAUUUGAAACUGUUGAUCUUGAGUACUGGAGAGGCAGAUGGAAUUCCUGGUGUAGCGGUGAAAUGCGUAGAUAUUAGGAGGAACACCAGUGGCGAAGGCGGUCUGCUGGACAGCAACUGACGGUGAGGCGCGAAAGCGUGGGGAGCGAACAGGAUUAGAUACCCCAGUAGUC